ensembl:snoRNA U3 Small nucleolar RNA U3
AAAACUGUAUUUUCAGGGAUCAUUUCUAUAAUUUGUUACUAGAGAAGUUUCUCUGAACAUGUAAAGCACCCAAAUGCUUGUGGGAUGAUAUAAAAAAUAUAUUUAUUUGGGAACA